UGACAGCAGGUAGAUAUGACACAAAUUUAAAUUAAAGUUUUAGAUAUAUCUAGUCGGGUGGAGGCUUCCGGAAGCCUCACAGCAGGGUGACAGUUUUAAGGAAACAGGCUCUAGGAUAGACGCUCCUCCACCCCCAUGGAACCGUGGACCGCAGCAACGCCGCGGAGCGACCGUUACAACUUUAUGAAAGUCAAAGAGUUUUUAAAAAUUAAUAGAUGCGCUGGACCUCAAACGGGUGAUAAGGCAGCGCAGAAAUGGCGCAGAGCGCUCUUGGCUUAAAGGAUUAUCUGUCGUGUGUCAUUCCGCCACCACCCCCCCACCCCAGCGACCAGCUCUGACACAUAGUUCGGCGCUGCUUGACUUUGGUCCCGGCGUGUUCACACGCCAUUCGCGCGCCGCUUAAAAAAACAUCCCCCUGAAACGAGUUUACCUUCUGUUUCCAAGCCUGCUGAACGUGCACAGGGUUCUUUAAUAAAUCUAUAUUAGUGGGUUUUUAACGGAAUUAGCACACUCUAAAUUGUCGUGACCCCAGAGUCACAGGCAAUAGACAUUAAAUUGCUUCAGUCUAUCAGAACUUUACUAUCGCUGUGAUUACAUUUAGCUGGCCUGGCUUUUCUCUUAGUCUUAAAUGCAAUUGUUUGUUUGUUUUGCGUGUGUGUGUGUGUGUGCAUGUGUGUGUGUGUGUGUGUUUCCCCCAAACUAGAGAGAUAAAAGAACACAAAUCGCACUUUUCCAAAAGCUACGCAGCAGGAAGGGAAGCAGCCUCAUCAGUGUCCCAUCAGCCACUCAAAAACCGUGACAAGUCCUGCCCCCCCCUCCCCCACCCCCGUAUAGGGACGACUGCAGGCUCCACGUCAGUGAGUUUGGAAAAAUCAACCCCCCGUAGACCCCCGGCUCUGCCAGGAGAACUCGCUUUCCGGAAACUCGGAAGGGAGACGGGGGAGGACAGGGCAGAGAUUUCUAGGAGUUUCCAGCGCUGAGGUCACGAGGUCAAGACACCGGCUCAUCAGAUGCCUGUAAAAUCCACCGACCACAUGAGGACAAACCCUACCUCCCCCCCCCCCCCCUACCAAGGGCGAUGCGGAGAGGACAGACCAGCAGAAACUACACAGGCCUCUCCGAUCUCCCAAGGACGGCAGCAUGUCCGGAUUUCACCCCCCGCACCAACAGUUGGAUGCUUUUCCCGGCACGGGCUGCCCCGAACUACACGGUGGUCGUGGUGGGAGAGAGGGAAGAGAUGGAGGUGGAGAUGAAGUGACGGCUCCGCCGAGCAACACUCCAGCCGUCCGCCGAGGCCGUGUCAUCGCGAUUACCGCGCCUCUAUUCCGAGUGCCGCACCACAUGGUGUGGAGAAGCCCAGCACCCACAGAGGACCGGACCCCCCCCCCUUGAGCUUAGGAUGCGCGCGUAUGUGUGUGUGUGGGGGGGGGGGGGGGUAGUUAAUGCAAGGUUAACAGGAACACUCACACUGUCAUCCAAAACUGCACCUGUAUCACUGCAUCUCUUCACCUGGAUCACACAUCAGCCUGAGGGCGCCGGGCAGUGGGAGGGGGGGGUGGGGUUCCUGGUUCACUGCCCUCUCCCGUCACCCCACAGCCACACUACCCUUUCGCCAGGUCAAGGUUAAAGUUUUUCUAAACGACCAGAAACCGCCGGCGGCAGCCAGUGGGACACGUGAGCAGGUUGCCGCGAGUUUGUGAGCACAAGAGAGAGAGAGAGAGAGAGAGAGAGAGAGAGAGAUGGGAUUAAGCCAAUCGGGGCAGAGGGGGCUGUUCCUCGCGGCCGUCGAGCGCUAAUGGCUUCCUGGCAAAGCGCAUGCCUCGUCCCUCGUGCUUUGGGCUUCGGCCGUUUGUCACCGAAGGUCGAAAGCUGGCAGCCAAAGGCAGA